GAAAAGUUUCGGGAGCGGUUAUCUGAAAGGGCUGUACGGUUUCGAGCUAUUGAGCAGCGAUUGCUGACACGAUUCAAAGACAAAACUCCCGCUCCUCUUCAACUUCUGGACACCUUGCUAGAAGGAACAUUCAGAGAGGUCAUAGCUCUAGCAGAUGAGC